UACGUAGGGAGCAAGCGUUGUCCGGAAUCAUUGGGCGUAAAGCGCGCGUAGGUGGCUUCGUAAGUCCGUUGUGAAAGUCAAAGGCUCAACCUUUGAAUGCCGAUGGAUACUGCGGAGCUAGAGUACGGAAGAGGCGAGUGGAAUUCCUGGUGUAGCGGUGGAAUGCGCAGAUAUCAGGAGGAACACCGGUGGCGAAGGCGGGUCUCUGGGCAGUAACUGACGCUGAGGAGCGAAAGCGUGGGGAGCGAACAGG
rnacentral:rRNA from 1 species